rfam:Asian citrus Psyllid, Diaphorina citri - Florida Strain, whole genome shotgun sequence.
GCCUCGGUGGUGCAGUGGUCAAGACGCUCGCCUGGUAAUCAGGAGGGCGUGGGUUCGAUCCCAGCCGAGGUA